CCCAUCUUGUCUUCCGGAGACCGGAGGAGUUGGGCCACCAAUUGAAGCCCAGCAAAAAGACUCUUUUGCUCCUCCCGGUAAAGCUUCUCUGCUCCGUCUGUUAUCAGACUUCCGAACGAAAUCACGGUGACGACAGCAGGAUACAACAAUCAGCGUCUCCGGAAUGAGUGCAGUGACAAGAAAUUACAACUCAACUCAAGACUAUUACAGGAAUUAGAGAUACUAAACUGAAAUACAAAAGAUAGAGAAGAAAGGAUGAGAAGCUCAGACUCAGAGCAAGGAGAUCAGAGGAUACAGACACUCGGAGAAAGAAAUGAGAAGGGGAGCAUUUGGAGGAAAUAGAGGACUGAGACCCGUUCCACCAGAAAAAGGAGUUUUUCCUUUGGAUCACAUGCAUUUAUGUGACGUGGAGAAGAAGGAAUACCUCAACUGUCUUAAAUCUGCUGGGCAUAAAUCCGAGGAGUGUAGACACCUCUCCAGAAAGUACCUGGAGUGCCGUAUGGAGAAGUAAGUCCAUUAGUUUGGCUUUGAAUACAUUUUAGAAUAUUUAAUUCUUCUAUAUCAACAACAACAACAACAAAAACCCAGUGUAAUCCCACAAGUGGAGUAUGGGGAGGAUAGUGUGUACGCAGACUUUACCCCUACCUUGAGAAGGUAGAGAGGUUGUUUCCGAUAGACCCUCAGCUUUAAUUCUUCUAUAUCUAGUAUACUUUAGCACACAACUUGAUGUAGUCACCAAAGGUCUCAGUUGCUUUGGUCAUUGCACUAUUUUGUUUUCGAGUUUGUAUAACUUCUUAGAACUAGAUUAUUCAUAAAGCCACCUAUAAAACUUGGUAAAAAAUUAAAUUCAUCUUCAA